UACGUAGGGGGCAAGCGUUGUCCGGAAUCAUUGGGCGUAAAGCGCGUGUAGGCGGCUCGAUAAGUCUGCUGUGAAAGUCCAGGGCUCAACCCUGGGAUGCCGGUGGAUACUGUCGAGCUCGAGUCCGGAAGAGGCGAGUGGAAUUCCUGGUGUAGCGGUGAAAUGCGCAGAUAUCAGGAGGAACACCAAUGGCGAAGGCAGCUCGCUGGGACGGUACUGACGCUGAGACGCGAAAGCGUGGGGAGCAAGCAGG
rnacentral:rRNA from 1 species